UAUGCAGCCCCAACUUCUUUGCAAAAAAAAAAAUGAAGAAGAAGGAAAAACAGAGAGAAAAAAACAGCCCCCGCUUCCAUGGCCGCUAUCCAACCCUUGAGCCCUUUCUCUAGAAGUUCCAAAUUCGUGGGCUCGGAUUCAACUAUCGUCCCUGCCCGAAUCCUGCCCAGACCCCGGGGAGUCACUCGUAGUGCCAUGGCGUCGCCUACCGGCAGCAGCCGCUCCUCCAAAAUCCCGGAGUUCCUGGCGGGUUCCGGCGGCCGGCCGGUGCCGGCCCUGGGGAUCGGCACGGCGUCGUUCCCGUUCGUGGCAGAGGACGUCAAGAACGCCGUGCUCGCCGCGUUGGAGCUCGGCUACCGCCACCUCGACACAGCCUCGGUUUACCCCUCCGAGCACCUCGUCGGCGAGGCAGUGGCGGAGGCGGGGCGGCGCGGGGUCAUAGCGUCCCGCGAGGAGGUGUUCGUGACGACCAAGGUGUGGUGCACGCAAUGCCACCCGGAUCUCGUGCUCCCUUCCCUCAAGGAAAGCUUGCAAAACCUUCAAAUGGAAUAUGUUGAUUUGUACUUGGUCCACUGGCCUAUGAGCGUAAAGCCCAGCAAACCACACUUCCCAAUGAAAAGGGAAGACAUCGUCCAGAUGGACUUGAAAGGCGUAUGGCAGGCAAUGGAGGAAUGUCAUCGCCUUGGCCUUGCUAAGAUGAUUGGCGUUAGCAAUUUCACAACGAAGAAAUUGCAGGAGCUACUUGCAAUUGCAGAAAUCCCCCCAGCAGUGAAUCAGGUUGAGUUGAAUCCAGCUUGGCAGCAGAAAAAACUGAUUGAAUUCUGCAAAGAGAAGGGAAUUCAUGUGACUGCUUAUUCUCCCCUGGGAGGCCAAAGCAGGACAUCCAAAGUCAAUGCAGUGCUACAGUCUGAAAUUCUGAAAGAGAUUGCCGAAGCUAGAGGAAAAUCAGUAGCUCAGAUCUCACUGAGAUGGAUCUUCGAGCAAGGAGCGAGCAUGGUAGCCAAGAGCAUGAAAAAGGAGAGGCUUCAGGAGAACCUCGAAAUCUUUGACUGGGAACUGACCGACGAAGACCGGUUCAAGAUUACUCGGAUACCGCAGUACAAGAAGGUCACAGUGCUGGCGAUCCUCUGCCCUGAAGGUGUCCCUGGCGUUGAUCUUUCGGAGGUUGAUGUUGUUGAAACGUAGGUGGGCUACCGCCACUUCGACACGGCCUCCAUGUACGCGACGGAGCGGCCCCUGGGCGAGGCCCUCGCGGAGGCGGUGCGCCGCGGGCUCCUGGCGUCCCGGGAGGAGGUGUUCGUCACGUCCAAGCUCUGGUGCACGCAGUGCCACCCGCACCUCGUGCUCCCGUCCCUCCAGGAGAGCCUCCAGAACCUGCAGAUGGAGUACGUGGACCUGUAUCUGAUCCACUGGCCGAUCAGCCUGAAGCCCGGGCCCGUGGUGUUCCCGGUGAAGCGGGAGGACGCCGUCCCGUUCGACUUGGAGGGCGUGUGGCGGGCGAUGGAGGAGUGCCACCGCCUCGGGCUCGCCAAGGCCAUCGGCGUCAGCAACUUCACCACCAGGCACCUCGACAAGCUCCUGCCGGCCGCCACCGUCCCUCCUGCAGUCAACCAGGUGGAGAUGAACCCGGUCUGGCAGCAGAGGAAGCUGAGGGAGUACUGCGCGGAGAAGGGCAUCCACGUCGCGGCCUACUCGCCGUUGGGAGGGCAGAACUGGUCGGGCGACGGCAACGCCGUGCUGGACUCCGAGGUGCUCGCGGAGAUCGCCAAGGCAAGAGGAAAGAGCGUCGCACAGGUAGCGCUGAGAUGGAUCUACGAGCAAGGGGUGACCCCGAUCGUCAAGAGCUUCAGCAAGGAGAGGCUCAAGGAGAACCUUGGGAUCUUCGACUGGGGGCUCACCGACGACGACCUGCGCAAGAUCGGCCAGAUUCCGCAGAAGAAGAUCGUUAAAGCUGAAACCGUGCUGUUCUCGGCAGAGGGCGAGUUCACGUCGGCUGACCUCGCAGACAUGGAAAUUGUCGAGGAUUAAAAUAGGCACCGAGAAUGCCUGCUUCGCUGUGUGGCGUAAACUGCAGUAGCUUACUUAAAGAGUGGGGAUGAAUAAAUAAGUAAUCGGUGCUAUAUCCCGUUAUUCCUCUUUUCGGAUUCAAGUUGUCAGUGAAGACCGUGAUCACCGUUGCCAUC